AUGUUACUGCUUCUAUUACUUCUGGGGCCUGGCUGUGGGCUUGGAGCACUCGUCUAUCAAUAUCCCAGAAGAACCAUCUGUAAGAGUGGAACUUCCAUGAGGAUGGAGUGUCAAGCUGUGGGUUUUCAGGCAACUUCUGUAGCUUGGUAUCGUCAAUCGCCUCAAAAGACAUUUGAACUGAUAGCACUUUCUACUGUGAACUCAGCAAUCAAAUAUGAACAAAAUUUUACCCAGGAAAAAUUUCCCAUCAGUCAUCCCAACUUAUCCUUUUCAUCUAUGACAGUUUUAAAUGCAUAUCUUGAAGACAGAGGCUUAUAUCUCUGUGGUGCUAGGGA